GCGGGCGGGGCGGGGGCACGGGGGGAACGCGAAGAACCUUACCUGGUCUUGACAUCCACAGAACUUGCCAGAGAUGGUUUGGUGCCUUCGGGAACUGUGAGACAGGUGCUGCAUGGCUGUCGUCAGCUCGUGUUGUGAAAUGUUGGGUUAAGUCCCGCAACGAGCGCAACCCUUAUCCUUUGUUGCCAGCGGUCAGGCCGGGAACUCAAAGGAGACUGCCAGUGAUAAACUGGAGGAAGGUGGGGAUGACGUCAAGUCAUCAUGGCCCUUACGACCAGGGCUACACACGUGCUACAAUGGCAUAUACAAAGAGAAGCGACCUCGCGAGAGCAAGCGGACCUCAUAAAGUAUGUCGUAGUCCGGAUUGGAGUCUGCAACUCGACUCCAUGAAGUCGGAAUCGCUAGUAAUCGUAGAUCAGAAUGCUACGGUGAAUACGUUCCCGGGUUGUAACACACCGA
rnacentral:rRNA from 1 species